CUUGCCAUCCACACUGCAACAAAACUUUGGAAACUUGUACCUUGGAUUCAUAACCAAACAACUGAGAAGGGUCCCUCCACACUCUUGGAAUUGUACACCCAUUGGAACCCUUAAGACCAUGACUGACCAUAAGAAACUGAAACCACAGAAAAUGAAACCACAAAUAUGGUUGGACUACUACUGUAGGAAUAAAUGGACAAACCCCUUAGGGUGCCUGAAUCUACAACAUGUCAGCAAAAGAACCUACAAUAUAUGCCUGAAGUAAAUCACCUCCAAGUAACUGUGCAGAGAAGCAACAUCUGUAGCUUUCCCUUGGUCACAAGUUUACCUACUGGCAUUCAAGAUUUAGGACUAACUUUCCUUGGUUAUUAUAUGACACCAUCAUGCUGAGCCAUUGCAAUAAAAGCCCG